AAGACGCCUUCGCCACAGGUGGUCCCACAGGGAUUACAAGAUUUCACUCCUACCCCUGUAGUACCUCUUACCUCUCCCGGUUCCAAGCCUGGCAGUAUCCCCCGAAAGCCUAAUAGUUGAGCUAUCAGAUUUCCCGGAAGACUGACCAAACCGGCUACGGACCCUUUAGACCCAAUAAUCACGAUCACCACUCGGGCCGCCGGUGUUACCGCGGCGGCUGGCACCGGUCUUGCCCGGCCCUUGCUAACAGGUGUAGUUUACACACCUGGACAGCCAGCAUAUGAUGCUAGCACUCGGUGUCCCCUUAUCACGGUUUCCCGCAUUGUAAAGUUUUCGCGCCUGCUGCGCCCCGUAGGGCCUGGAUUCAUGUCUCAGAAUCCAUCUCCGGGCUCUUGCUCUCACAACCCGUACCCGUUGUUGGCUAGUAGGUACAUUACACCCACUACUACCUGAUAGGCCGCAGACCCAUCCUUGGGCAGACGAAUCCAUUUGACGCAUAAAGCAUUCCAGCAUAUAUGCGUUAUCCGGAAUUAUCCCCAGUUUCCCGGGGUUAUGCCGGACCCAAGGGCAGGUUAUCCACGUGUUACUGAGCAGUACGCCAUGUUCACGAAGAACAUAUGACUCGCAUGGCUUAGGCGAACACCGAUAGCAGUAACCUCUGGCAGGAUCAACCGGA
rnacentral:rRNA from 1 species